GCCGCCGACCUGGCAGGCCAGGAAGAGGAGGAAGCCCUGGAGGGGCUGGAGGUGAUGGAUGUUUUCCUCCGGUUCUCAGGGCUCCACCUUUUCCGGGCCGUGGAGCCAGGGCUGGUGCAGA
ensembl:miRNA